AGUUCGGAUUGUAGUCUGCAACUCGACUACAUGAAGCUGGAAUCGCUAGUAAUCGCGAAUCAGAAUGUCGCGGUGAAUACGUUCCCGGGUCUUGUACACACCGCCCGUCACACCAUGGGAGUCGGUAACACCCGAAGCCUGUAGUCUAACCGCAAGGAGGACGCAGUCGAAGGUGGGAUUGAUGACUGGGGUGAAGUCGUAACAAGGUAGC
rnacentral:rRNA from 1 species